GAUCAGACAUGGUGUUUUGCGCCCCUUGCCUCUCGUGGGCUUGGGACUCUCGCAGCUCACUGGGCCAGCAUCGGUUUUGGCGGCCGGAAAAAACCUAGGGAAUGUGGCUCUGCGCCUCGGUGUAGAGUGUUAUAGCCCUGGGGAAUACGGCCAGCCGGGACCGAGGACUGCGAUACUUGUUAUCUAGGAUGCUGGCAUAAUGGUUAUAUGCCGCCCGUCUUGA
rnacentral:rRNA from 1 species